rnacentral:rRNA from 1 species
AUUCCAGCUCCAAUAGCGUAUAUUAAAGUUGUUGCAGUUAAAAAGCUCGUAGUUGGACUUCUGGCAGGGCGCCGCGUGCCACAGUAGUGCGCACAAGGGCCCGGCCAUCCUUCUGUAAACGUCGGGGAAGUUUAUUCGUCCGCGGCGGGAUCAGUUAAUUUACCUUGAGAAAAUUAGAGUGUUUCAGGCAGGCGUAACCGGAAUACAUUAGCAUGGAAUAAUGGAAUAGGACUUAGUCUCUUUGUUGGUUCGAGGGACUGGAGUAAUGAUUAAUAGGGAUAGUUGGGGGCAUUAGUAUUUAUUAGCUAGAGGUGGAAUUCUCUAAUUUGAUAAAGACUAACUUAUGCGAAAGCAUUUGCCAAGGAUGUUUUCAUCA